GCAGGGUGAAAAUGAUCCGUAGCAAUACGGUGAAACACGACUGGCGUAUGGUGAGUAAUGGAUGGGUAACGUGCCCCGGACACGGGAAUAAGCGCCCGAAAGGGCGUCUAAUACCCGAUGACCUCCCUGGGUUUCAUGGCCUGGGGAGCAAAGGUUGGGGACCGCAAGGCCUGGCGGUCUGGGAUCGGCCCAUUUCCUAUCAGCUAGUUGGUGAGGUAACGGCUCACCAAGGCAUUGACGGGUAGCGGGACUGAGAGGUUGGCCCGCCACAUUGGCACUGAGACACUGGCCAGACUCCUACGGGAGGCUGCAGUAACGGAUCUUCCGCAAUGGGCGCAAGCCUGACGGAGCGACGCCGCGUGCAGGAGGAAGCCCUUCGGGGUGUAAACUGCUGUCAGGGGUAAGCAAGCGACCCGGGUUAACAGCCCGGGAAAUUGAGUUAUCCCAGAGGAAGCCACGGCUAACUCUGUGCCAGCAGCCGCGGUAAUACAGAGGUGGCAAGCGUUGUUCGGAAUCACUGGGCUUAAAGGGCGCGCAGGCGGUUGGAAGGGUGUCCUGUGAAAUCCCUCGGCUUAACCGAGGAACUGCGGGGCAAACCGUCCGACUUGAGGCAGGUAGAGGUUGAUGGAACUCUGGGUGGAGCGGUGAAAUGCGUAGAUAUCCAGGGGAACGCCAAUGGCGAAAGCAGUCAACUGGGCCUGCCCUGACGCUGAGGCGCGAAAGCCAGGGGAGCAAACGGGAUUAGAUACCCCGGUAGUCCUGGCCCUAAACGAUGUCUACUGGGUUUGAGAAUCUCUGACGGUUCUCGGGCCGAAACAAAAGUGUUAAGUAGACCGCCUGGGGAGUACGGCCGCAAGGCUAAAACUCAAAGGAAUUGACGGGGGCUCACACAAGCGGUGGAGCAUGUGGCUCAAUUCGAUUCAACGCGAAGAACCUUAUCCCGGGUUUGACAUGCAGGUAGUAGGCGUCCGAAAGGACAACCACUGGUAUCCAGUCCAGAGCCUGCACAGGUGCUGCAUGGCUGUCGUCAGCUCGUGCUGUGAAGUGUUGGGUUAAGUCCCAUAACGAGCGAAACCCUUGUCUUUAGUUGCCAUCAGGUUAUGCUGGGAACUCUAAAGAGACUGCCGGUGUUAAACCGGAGGAAGGUGGGGAUGGCGUCAAGUCCUCAUGGCCUUUAUACCCGGGGCUGCACACGUGCUACAAUGGCGUCUGACAAAGCGAUCCGAGACCGAGGUGGAGGAAAUCGCAAAAACGACGCCCCAGUUCGGACUGUAGGCUGCAACUCGCCUACACGAAGCCGGAAUCGCUAGUAAUCGCAGAUCAGCUAUGCUGCGGUGAAUGUGUUCCUGAGCCUUGUACACACCGCCCGUCAAGUCAUGGGAGCUGGGCGCACCCGAAGUCCGUGAGCCAAGCCGCAAGGCAGGCAGCGGCCGACGGUGAACUCGGUGACUGGGACUAAGUCGUAACAAGGUA
rnacentral:rRNA from 1 species